rnacentral:rRNA from 1 species
CCCUUAGAUGUUCUGGGCCGCACGCGUGCUACACUGAUGCAUUCAACGAGUCUAAAACCUGGUCUGAUAGGGCUGGGUAAUCUUUUGAAAGUGCAUCGUGAUUGGGAUAGAUGAUUGCAAUUCUUCAUCUUCAACGAGGAAUGCCUAGUAAACGCAAGUCAUCAGCUUGCAUUGAUUACGUCCCUGCCCUUUGUACACACCGCCCGUCGCUCCUACCGAUUGAAUGAUCCGAUGAAUAUCAUGGAUUGAGGAUGCAAGUAGGUUAGCCUAUCUUCAUCUUCGAGAAGUGAAGUAAAUCUUAUCAUUUAGAGGAAGGAGAAGUCGUAACA